UGCAGUCGAGCGAGCUGAUUCAAAGAUCCCUUCGGGGUGAUUUGUUGGACGCUAGCGGCGGAUGGGUGAGUAACACGUGGGCAAUCUGCCCUAAAGACUGGGAUACCACUUGGAAACAGGUGCUAAUACCGGAUAACAACAUGAAUCGCAUGAUUCAAGUUUGAAAGGCGGCGCAAGCUGUCACUUUAGGAUGAGCCCGCGGCGCAUUAGCUAGUUGGUGGGGUAAAGGCCUACCAAGGCAAUGAUGCGUAGCCGAGUUGAGAGACUGAUCGGCCACAUUGGGACUGAGACACGGCCCAAACUCCUACGGGAGGCAGCAGUAGGGAAUCUUCCACAAUGGACGCAAGUCUGAUGGAGCAACGCCGCGUGAGUGAAGAAGGUUUUCGGAUCGUAAAGCUCUGUUGUUGGUGAAGAAGGAUAGAGGCAGUAACUGGUCUUUAUUUGACGGUAAUCAACCAGAAAGUCACGGCUAACUACGUGCCAGCAGCCGCGGUAAUACGUAGGUGGCAAGCGUUGUCCGGAUUUAUUGGGCGUAAAGCGAGCGCAGGCGGAAUGAUAAGUCUGAUGUGAAAGCCCACGGCUCAACCGUGGAACUGCAUCGGAAACUGUCAUUCUUGAGUGCAGAAGAGGAGAGUGGAACUCCAUGUGUAGCGGUGGAAUGCGUAGAUAUAUGGAA
rnacentral:rRNA from 1 species